rnacentral:rRNA from 1 species
AAACCAGCACCUCAAGUGGUCAGGAUGAUUAUUGGGCCUAAAGCAUCCGUAGCCUGCUCUGUAAGUUUUCGGUUAAAUCUGUACGCUCAACGUACAGGCUGCUGGGAAUACUGUAGAGCUAGGGAGUGGGAGAGGUAGACGGUACUCGGGAGGAAGUGGUAAAAUGCUUUGAUCUCUCGAUGACCACCUGUGGCGAAGGCGGUCUACCAGAACAUGUCCGACGGUGAGGGAUGAAAGUUGGGGGAGCAAACCGGAUUAGAAACCCCAGUAGUCC